rnacentral:rRNA from 1 species
AGCAGCCGCGGUAAUUCCAGCUCCAAUAGCGUAUAUUAAAGUUGUUGCAGUUAAAAAGCUCGUAGUUGAAUUUCGGGAUCAAUUAAUUGGUCGUGCCUCUGGUACGCACUGGUUUUAUUGGUUUCUCCCUUCUGACGAACCACGAUGUCAUUAAUUUGGUGUCGUGGAGAAUCAGGACUGUUACUUUGAAAAAUUAGAGUGUUUAAAGCAGGCUAACGCUUGAAUACAUUAGCAUGGAAUAAUGAAAUAGGACGUUUGAUCCUAUUUUGUUGGUUUCUAGGAUCGACGUAAUGAUUAAUAGGGAUAGUUGGGGGCAUUAGUAUUCAAUUGUCAGAGGUGAAAUUCUUGGAUUUAUUGAAGACUAACUACUGCGAAGGCAUUUGCCAAGGAUGUUUUCAUUAAUCAAGAACGAAAGUUAGGGGAUCGAAGACGAUCAGAUACCGUCGUGGUCUUAAACCAAUAAACUAUGCCGACGUAGGGAUCGGAUGUAUUAGUUUAAUUUUUAAUGUACUCUAUUCGG